CACUGAGCCUGCGCGUCCGGAGCCUGUGCUCCGCAGCGGGAGAGGCCACAACAGUGAGAGGCCCGCAUACCGCAAAAAAAAACAACAAAAAAAAGAUUUGUACUUCUGCUGUGAGAUUUCCUAGUGUCAAAAUUAAAUCAAUAAAACUGAACAUUUGUCUAAAUAUUAGUUUGCCCUUUUUUUGAAUGAAGACAAUAUACAUAAGAGGCUAUGGGCUGUGCCAGUAGACUUUAAAUACUAGUGUUUCAUCAGGAUCCUUUUUAAAAAUUUAUAUAAAUCCCAGUUCUUGGCCCUCAGUUUCGUUGUUAGCAUUUGCCACUUUGUAACCUGAUUACCUGCUUCAUCCUGCUUGAGGACCUAACUCCUGCUUCUGGUCGUUCAUAACCUCCCGAAGCCCAGACAGCGCAGAUGAUGGUCCUGGAAAUCCCUCCUGUGUGGCUCUAACGAUGCAGUUACAGAUCACAGUCUACCGUUAAGUUGAAGAGCGAGUGAGCUCUCCCAGUGGAGAACGAGCUUAACUCGGAACCAGCCGCUGCGUUUUCACCUGGUUCUGAAAUUCGCAGAAUACAUUUCGUACUUUGCUGGUCCUAGAGGGUGACACUGCCUCCCUGUGACUCAGCCCAGCGACCGACCAUGUCUCCAGUGAGAGAGAAGGUAAAUAUUUACCCCCCUUCCUGGGUCUGGGCCACAGAUUAUUACAUAACCGACCAAAGUGAUUUGUGUAAAAGUGACUCAAACAAAAAUGGAAACGAAAAGUUAAAUGUAUGGGCCCCUCUUCCAAGCCUGGCAUCUAGCUGCCCCGCUUGCCCCCAGCCCUUCAGACACCGAGGGACAUGGCCCCGGUGUGCCAAGCAGGCUCUGCCGCCAGUCACAUGGCCAAGUGGCCCUUGGAGAAGUCACACUUAACUCACAGGACUCGACUUUCUUCCCAGCAAACACGGGCUGGUCUGGGGGUCUGGGCCUCGCCCCACCUCCUCAGGGCGUCCAGGGAGGAUGGGUGGUGCCCACAGGCCAUCACAGCUGCCCACUCGGGCCGACCCUUCCUCUCUGCCGCCUCGGUCUCAGCCGCCAGCCUUCAGCAGGACAGAGACGGGAUGGGAGCUCUCGUUGUAGUGACUGACAGCAGAGGAAGGGCAGAUCGGAGUGGUGAGGCUUAAGCGGCGGCUGCCCAGGUAUGCAAGUCAAGCUGUGAAUGAGGAGAGCCCGGACUCGGAGGUGCAGGGGCCGAGGAGGCGGCAGGCCCACUGCUGCUGCGGGAGGGCGUGCCUGGGAGGAUGGAGAGAUGGAGCGGGGGGCCUAGGGUGGGCAGGAGCCCAGCCAGCCCCGCCUUCCCUCUCCCACACUUGCAUCCGCCUUCCAGCAUGUUCUGGCAGUAACAACUCCAGGUCAAAGUGGGAUGCACGGCUCCCACCCUCGCCGGGACCGUCCCCCAGAACCCUGGUGGGCCCGCUGCCUGGUCCCUCCGGCCUGUCCCCGUGCAGCCCCCAGGGGCCUGGCCACACACUCUCCAGGGCUCAGCCUGUUGGGGCCUGUGGCCGUGAGCCCUUGCCUCCCUUUCCAGGUGACACCCUCCCUGAGCGGCACCCACCACAG